GAGCAGCUGUGGUAGGUGGUGGUGCAGCCAUAUAUGGUGGAGCUGAAGCCAUGGCUGUUUGAAGUAAAGAGGAGCAAAGAGCCAGUGAAAGAAUCAGGAAUGAUGCAAGCAAGAGCUUCAUUUUAGUUAUUUUGAUUGAUAUUUUACACUUCAAGAAAUAGUACUAACUAAGGCGAUGAGAAUUAGCUUAGGAAGCUAUGGGCUUGAAAGAAUUCAGAGGAGUAUUUAUAGUGGUGGAUUGAAGGUGGAAGUCAUGUGGAAAUUUGAAGCAAAAGGGUAUUUUAUUAAUAAAAUUAAAAGGCCAAUGAACAAUUUCAUUACAGUCUGUAAUUUAAGGAGGCACUUAUUGGGGAGGGCAUUAUAGAUUUUUGUCUUGAUUAGCUUAUUAUAUUUCUACUCAGGUUUAUGCUAUACAUAGGGAAGUUUGCAAGUACCUUCCUGAGGAAGGAGAUAAUCCUUUUUUAAGGUUAAUUAAUUAGGUUUUGACUAACACUUGUGAAGUUCUGAUGAUUUAUAAAAUUUUAGUACCAACAAUUUGAAAGGGUACAAGCUGUACUGGCUUCUCCGAUGUAGCCCAUUUGCAUAUGUUUAUUGAUCUUUUUUUGCUCUUCCUUUCUGGCUCGCCAGAAUCUCUAUGUAACUUGAAAAAUAAUUUCCAACUUCAAGUUAAAAGGGAACAAAGAAAUGAAAACUGAUAUAGACAGGGAUAGAGAAUCUCAAUUAGUUUGGCGCACAAUUCCAGGCUGUGGCUUCCCCCAACUUGCACUUAUUUAAAUUAUUUCCUUUUUAUAUGUGUGGGAACUAGAGGAGGAAGAGAAUAGACAGGCCCCCGAAGGUUCCAGGAAAUUGGACUCAACCUCCUGAGAUUCCUCUUUAAAUAUUUUGAUGUUCAAAAAAAAAAAAAAAAAAAAAAAAAAAAAAAAAAAAAAAAAAAAAAAAAAUUUUUUUUUUUUUCCCCCGCCGCACAAAGAAAAUAUUUUGUUGCGAAUGAACAAGAUAUUGAGGAAUUGUCCAUAAUUUUACUGUCACCUGAGGAAAAUAAACUUAGAAGCUUAUGAAAAUAAAUUAUAUAGCUACAAGGCAACAAAAUCUAGAAUUCAAUGGCUAAAUGCACAAGAAGUUUCAUUAAUAACAAUGUGAAUUCUUACAGCAGAAUUUUUUAUAUUCAAGCAUGGAACAAUUUAAAUACAUCGGAUUAGUGAUACUGAAGAUGCAAACCUAUAUACGUUUAAACUGCUGAGAGUUGUGGCCGUGAUAAAACAAUAAGGAAGCACGUCUUUGCGAACAGAAAGAACUCAGGCUUUGACAUGUACUAUAAAUUCUUCCCAAUAACUUGCAAAACAAAACAACAUUAAAAUGUCAAUCCACAUAGACACAUGUAUGCCUAUCUAUAUAUGUAAUAUGAUGAAAAAUAAACAAAAAGAUACCAAUGUCAACCUCCCAAACUAGAGGAAGCACGGAUAUGUUGACCAUAAGAAUGUUCUUUGGCAGAGCGACUGGAAGUGAGUAAAUUGACCUGCAGAAGGCCCUCAACAAUUAGAGUUGACAGAAUGACACAAAGGUAGGUAGCAAAGAAAAAUUGGUCAAGAAAGUUACCUUCACGAUGUCACAUUUGGCGCUUGGUCGCCUGGAGGCAGCUAGGACACUCAUGUGAAAUAGCUGUUUUCAAGAACACAAUGAUAAACAAAGCAAUACACGUGAAAAUUUUAUCUAACAAUUAACUUCUACUGUUGUUUGCGGUACUUGCAAUGGAAACUAGUACAAAACUUAAAGAAAGGAUGAACUGGACAUGAAAGCAAAGCAAUGUGAUUUCUGACUCACAGCAGUUAUUAGUUAAUAAAGAAAAGUUAUAUUUUCUUGGUUUGUUGCAUAGGAAAUUACCCUAUAAGGAUCGCUUCUUAAGGACUGCACAAACAGAGAAUUCCCCGAGUCACUAUCCUGCAAUGGAAUAAACACCAGAACUCUUAAACAUGACAAGUCAUAAACAGCAGAAGUGGAUGCAAAUAAAUGCUCCAAAAGGAUAAAACUGAAAUUAAUCAAUAGUCAUGCCUCCAAAUAAACAUCCUUGAGUCGCCUUCCAGUUUGAGCACAGCAGACGCGGACAACAUUUUCAUCACAGCUACCACUUAUGAUGUAAUCCCUCCCAUUCAUGUAAUAGGAGCGAGUAUAAUUAUGAGAACUUCCAGUUGCAGCUAUCUCAAAGUUCAUGUGAACCCUACCAUCUACUGCCAGAAGUUGUUUGACCUGACACAAGUUAAAAGUGGGAUAUUAUCUUGAACUCAGUGAAAGAAGCCAACAAGUUUGUUAUUACUAUGUUAAGGUGGCAUGCUUACAUCCUAAGAGGUAAACAAGGAAUUCUGCUUGAUGAUUAGUAGGGAACAUCUACAGUUAGAUGCGUUAAUGACAUUGGACUAGUGAAAUUAUGCUCAUCUUAUCAAACCCCUUUAUAAGAUUAGGGAGUCUACAUCCACACAAUGAUUUAGAAUUUUUCUUUAUCUAGUACGUUUUAUCCUUGCCCAACUGAAUAUAUACAUACAUAAUGGAUAUGAAAAUACCUCAUUGUCAACAGCUGAAACAAGCAGAUAUUUGUCAUCAGGAGAAAAGCAAACCAUCACAUUCCCUCUUGAACUUGAGGCUGUAUAACAAGGCCUCUCUGGUUUUUGUCUCAAAUCCCAAAGCUUGACAUCAUGGUCAAAUGACGAAGUAGCAAAUAGGAAGGGAGAACAGUGUGCAAAUUUAGCAACAUUAAUGGGUUCUCGAUGCAUAUUAGUAAACAACUGUAUGCGUCUUCUACUACUAAUGUCAUAUAGGGCAACAUCCUUUGAGUACCCACUGGCAAGAAACUGAUCGUCUGUGGAAUUGACAUGAACAGAAGUCAAUGGCUCAAAAUCAUCAAAACUGACCACUCCUGUCAUGCAAUUUAUAUCUGCAACUUUUGGUGGCAUAUGAUUGAUGUCAAACAGCUUCAAGGAACCAUUAUCAGAACCAGCUAGCAACUGUUCAAUGCAUACAAAAAGCCUUCAGCAAAAAUUGAACUUCUAAGAAUCAAAAUGAAGCAAUAAAUUAGAUGUCCUUCCCAUUAUAUAGCAUUUAUGAAUUACUUCCAAAGACAAGUUCUAGCAACAAAUUAUCUAUCCUAUUGAUACAAUUCUAGUAUCUUUUAGGUGUAAGCAUGCAACUGGCUGAUUUCCCUCAUCCAAAGAACAAAUGUAAAAUAUUUCAAGGUUUAAAUUGCUGCGGAAAGUAUACAAGAUACUGCUGUUGGAAAUAUCACCUUGGAAUUCAGGUGUGAUCUUGACCUACAAAGUCAUCGAGUAAAAUAAACCAAAUCCAAAGACAACCGCAAUUUAUUGUUGAACCAUAUUGAACUUACGAUACCAAACACAAGUGCCUUAGAAACAGAUAAAAGAAAAGGGUCGAAAGUGCAAGACAAAAGUAUUACAAGCCUAAAAUGCUUUAUGGAAAUGGCAUACCUUUGAUGGAUACAUUUUGAGCCAACAAAGACCCAGAAUACUGUUCAUUGCUCCACUGGAAGGAACAUAACCAACAGUCUUCCCAUUUUCAUGAUUAGUGACAACUACUUCACCAUCUAGAGUUCCAAAAACCAUAAGACUAGGAUCAGAUGGAUGAUAUUCGAAUUGUCUAGGGCGAAGACGCUUACUUCCUUCUUUAUGCAGAUGGCUCAAGCUAGACAAAGGGUGCAAGAGGGGCCAUGCAACAGAACCCAGCUUGGCAGCACUAAGAGAUCGUGGAAAGAAAAUUUGACUCUUUCCAUGAGGAUAUUGCUUCUUUGUCUUCUGGAAAUUUGGGCAGGCACCACUUGCUCUCAUUUCACGUUUCUGCAGGAUACUGACAAUGCUUUCUUUGUAUUGUCGGUUAUAGGCUAAGUACUCAUAGAAUUUUGAAGAGAUGAUCUUCGCCAUUUUCUUGUCCAGCUUUCCAACGGGCAAAUUAUCUAAAACCUCCAAAUGAGGCAAUGAAGCAAUUAUAUACUCCCUAUAAUGUUUCUCAAAGCAGAUAGGCGAUGGGUGGUGUGAACUGUAAAUGUUGUUUAACUUAGUACAGUUUUUCUUCAAAUCCCACAUGCAUCCACUUGCAAACAACUCAUUUUUGUCUUCAAUCUAUCAUUCGCCAAAAGAAACCUGUUAGACAAACUAAAAAAAUCCAUCACCAAACAUCUAUAUUUCAAACUUUCCCCCUUCUAAGCAUUUAAUAUGCUUACCUCAUUUUGCAACUUGACUUUUCCAUUCAAAUUAGGAAGCAUGCUGGAUGAUAGUUCCAGCAAAUCUAUUCUUUGCAGGCAGCUUGAAAUUUUAUCUUCAGUAGUGACUGAAAAGUUAUCAGUUCCUCCAUUAACCUCAUUACAUGUAAAUGCAUUUUUGGGAGAAAGCAAGUCACAACAUGACAUUGCAUGAGGAGUGUAAAUAGUUGUGUCAGCAGCAUUGACAGGCAGCAGUUCAAUGGAUGAACCUCUAUCCAACUGAUGCAGGACAUUUGCUUUGUUACCAAAUGAUGCAGGACAUGGCCCAGUGUCCUUGCAACACAAGCAAUUUUGGAAUCGUAGUUCUAGCAAAGAAGGAAGUUUCAAUAAGGCAGCAGUGGUUGUCCAGAGAUCAAUCACUCUUGUCUCACACAUUGAGAGACGCAUCAGAUUGGGCAUGGAAGAAAAACAGUCCCUAUGCAAACUAGCGAUUGAAGUGCAAAAAUCCAGAUUUAAGGUGUGCAAUCGCAUAAAACUUCCAACCAUGUUGAGCUUUUGGAUGUGAGUGGACCUCAAGCUUAAAAUUUCACAAGAUAAGCCAUGGUGACUUAGAUCCCUGGAAAGGUCCCACAAACAACGAUGUUAAAAUAUGAUUUAGAUAGAGAAUACUCCACCUUUCUUUUCAUCCUUUUCAAGCAUAGUUAAUUGGUCACUAGACUCACUGCAUGAUAUAAUGUUUCCUUAGCAAAAGAGGAUGCUAUAUGCUUUUCAUAGAAAGACAAAAUUAACUGUCAUGAACCCAGAAAGACACAGGACACAAAUGUUGGGGCUCUGUAAACUGCUGAAGCAGGGUCUUGGGAUCCUAGAUAAGGCCCUCACUUGAGCAUUCAAAUCUUCAUAAUUGUUAACCAAUACAGAAAGUGCCCACUAGCCGUCCUAAUGGUCUUUCCAUCCAGAUUCUAAAAAUAUGACGGCAGUGGUCCUUUUCAAGUUAUUUUAAGUGAUAAUCUCAUCUCUUAAAACUCAUAAAGUGAUUAGAACUUCUAGCAUCACCAUCAUUUUUCUCUCUCUUCAUAUUCUUUUUUCUUUUUUCUCUUUCUUAAGGAAUUCAAGGUUGGGAAAUUGGAAACGGCAGAAAUCUAUCAGGUAAAGGAAAAUAAAAUAUAGAAGAUAAUGCAUUAUGACUAUGGUAAAUGACAAAGACAAUAAGGACAAGCAAUAAAACAGAAUGGUGAUACCAACCAUAAAAAGUCCUCUUCCAAUGACAUUUCCUGAAGAUCAACAACCCGGAGUUUUAGAUGAAUUGCUCGCAACAAGGAAAGAACAUAUUCUUCCUUCAAAUUGCAAUGCGAUUCAUUGACUAUGUCAACUGCAUCAAUGUCAGAAGAGUCUACUGCUAGGAACAUAUCAAUCAGAGGAGGAAUAUCAUCAUUCUUGAGCUGAUUUAGCAAAACCUCAAAGGUACACUUCUUCUGGAAGAACUUCUGUAUUGUGGCCUAAAUAAAAGAAGAAAAGUUAUGCUUGCCACAAAAUAGUUUCUUCAAUGCAAAAACUGUACAAGUUUGUUACUGGAUCAAUCUACCAGCCAGUGAAGCAAAGAUGAUUAAUAAUCAUAGAGAAGAAAGCUAAGUUUCAUUAUGCUAUCAAGUUAGGACCAUAAGUAUUAUUUCAGAGAAAGAAAUGCACCUCCCAAGGCCAAAAAAACAAAAAAAGAAGAAGAAAAAAAAAAAAGACAGCUUGCUGCUUUAGGAGGUGGGAUAAAACUAACUUCAGAAAAAUCCAGUCCAAGCAGCACACAGUGCAACAUAUGGCUCUUUUCUGAAAGAUGGUUUAAGAAUCCCCUCAAUGCAAGCAAAAUGAUUCUAUACUAACAACCAACUUUUAUCCAAAAAAUAUGAUAUUAAUUGAUAAAAACAACAACAAGUGGACAGCCUUAGUCAGUAACAUCAGAUUCCACAAUCUAAAGCAGUCUGAAGGGAUAAAGGCAGAUGAAGGGGGGAGGUGCGUGUGCAAUAUCCUAACAAAGGAAACACUGUUCCCUAUUAAACAUGAGGGGCGGCGCAAACAUUCAUGAAGAAAGUUUAGUUUAAUAGACCUUAGAGAAGCAUGACAGUACGGCAGAAUUGGGUGGCACCUCAUGCCUCCUGCAAGAAUCAAGAUACCUAGCACAAAAAGAGAACGCAAUCUGAGAAUCAAUAAGAAUCUAAAAGUACAAGGAUUCAGAGAGCAAAAGCCACUAUCAACACCAGCAUCAAGAAAUCAAGCUUUUGAAAAUACUUGCAACUAUCAACCAAUGGAACGAGUCCAAACAUGAAAUGUUCUACAAAACAAAAGUAUUUGAAGCCAGAAUACUAAUAAUUCCACAAAUUUACUUUGCCAAAUAUCAAUAAAGGCAACAACAAGACUCAUAUUCUCAUAGAAACUAUAAAAUUUUCUAAAAAAAACUUAAUUGGCCAGUAAAAAGUUCCCAGAAAAUUUUAAUUAUGAUUCUUUUUUCUUUUUUUGGGUAUGUGAAAUUGUACAUUAGUUCAAUCAUUACUAAUCAAUCAAUCCAACUAGCUGACAGUAAUAUUUAGUUUAGUUAAUGUCGCUUUGAAUUUUGAAGAUUCUUCCCGCUACUGAUCAGAGAAAAGGAAUAGAUCAAAGGGAAGGUUAGCUUUGUGAACUAAUUUAUGCAAAGAUACUAGCUUUGAAUCUGAAAUAGAAAAAAAAAUCAUGUUUUGCUUUGUGGGUGUCCACAGAGGAUCUCUCUCUUUUGCUAAUUUCAGUCAUUUAUGUAAAAAAGCUGUAACAAUUGCCAACACUUUCUCUAAGCACUUGCCACCUGCUACUAAUUUUCCUUUGCCUCUUUUGGCUAAUUCCAUUCGUAACUCCCAUCAUUGGUUAACCUCCCAAAAUACCACGUCUAAAUUUCUCUUGAAAGCUGUACCAAACCCACCAAUCCUUUAACUCUUAAAUCCAUGAUUCAGUAGGAAAAAAAAAACAAAACACAGACAAGAAACCAGAAAACCCAGAAGAGAAAAAAAUUAAAGAAAGAAAAAGAUUUAAUUAGAGAUCAAUAUCAUACCGAGCUUCUAAGGUGGAGAUAUCCAUGCAAAUGAUUGGUGACUGUAGCUUUGCUUCUUCUAGUUCUUCACAUUAAUGGCGAAAAAAAUGAAGUCAAUGGAUCUAAGACACGGGAAAUAUUGCUAACAGUGUCAAAAACACAUGUCGAAUGGAUAAGCACACCUGUUCUUAAUUCUAAAUUCUAACAUUACUCAGUGCAGGAAGAGAAAGUGAAAUUUCAACCAAAUAAUAUUCGACAAGAUUACCUUUAGAAGUUAGGACCAUCAUCAAAUGGCCAUUAUGUAUUUGAGUCACGCAAUUAUAAUACAAAUAGUUUUUACAAGUUUAAUUUAUAAUUAUAUUUGUCGUUAUUUAUUUAUUGAAUGAUAAUCUAUUAUUCAAUUUGCUAAAAAAAUGUAUCGUUAGUCAUUGCUAAUUAAUGAUUAACUAUUAUUGGAUUUUGAAAAGCUAUUCUAAUGCUUAAAUUAUUAAAUUCUCCAAUCAAUUCGCAGUUUAAAAAGAUAUUUAAUAUUUUUUAUUUUUAUUAAUGAAAUAUAUCUAUAUACAUUGAAUUAUGUGCGAUGUAAUUAAUCUCUUACAUCCUAUAAAUAUAAUAAAUAUAGAAAGUGUAAGAUAUUUGGUUAGAUUUCUUUUAUUUGGUAAUCUCCUAAAAAAAAAAUCUAUAUAUAUAUAUAUAUAUAUUUUUUUUUUUUAUGGAGGUAAAAUUUAAAAAAAAAUGUGUAAAAUAACUCAACUACCUUUUGUUAUCAUAUGGAAAAAAAUAAUUAAAAUUAAUUUUUUUUAAACUUUGGUAAGGGAACGGAACUGUAAACAUUCUUAAUUAUAUCAAGUGAACACCACCAAGUUAACACAUAAAUAUUAUAAUCUUCAAUCAUUGUAUAAUUUUGUAUAUUAGAAAAUGAAUUAAGUUAAAUUAUUUUAGUGGAUCCUGUGGCUUUUAUUUUUGUCACGAUUUGUCAAAUCAAUGCCCAACUACUAACUAAGAUGUUGACAACAUUGUUAAUAUAAAAAGAUCAUUAAUCAUGUUAGAAAAUGAAAAUAAGCUUGUUAGAAAUAUGUCAAAUAAAAUACUUAUUUCUCAUUUUUUUUGUAUGAAAAAAUAGAGAAGAAAAUAAAUAAAAUUAAUUUCUGAGUAAUAUUUGAAGUUCACCAUCAAAUAAAAUUAGUUGUUUGAUUUGAAUUUGUUCUAAUGAGUUAAUAUUUCCCAACUAAUUAUCAAAUUUCUUUAUCUAUCCCUAGAAGGUGUAGAAUAUGGAAGGAUAAUUAAUUGAAGGUUUUGAUUGGGCCUAAAAAUGAAUGUUAGUAUCUUAGAGAAAAAAAGAAAAAGAAAAAAAAAAGCUCAGUGGUAGAAUAACGGUGGUUGACAACCACAUUUUGCACUGAUCAUCAUCGUCAUCAUCAUCAUUAUGUAAUAAAUGAGAAUAGUGGAUGUUGACAUGACAUUGUGUUUGAGAGUGAAACUCUCUAAAAUUUAAAUAUUUUGUUUUAACUUAGUUAAGAAAAUUUGAAGAUUUUAAAGAGAAAACGUGUCUCCCUUAACUCUUUCUCUCUCUACUUUAUAACUUUUAUGAAUUUUUAAAUAAUACUAACUCAUUUAAAAUUAAUCUCUAAUUUAUAUCUUUUAAAUAUAAUGGCUCUUGAAUAAUAACUCUUUUAAAAUUACUCUCUAAUUUAUUACUUUUAAAUAUAAUGGCUCUUGAAGUUCUCUUAUAAUUUUAAAUUUUCAAUUAGUUCAAUAUUAUUAGGUUAAGAAUGUUAGGAAUAAAAUUAUACAAAAUAAGUUUGAGAUAAAAUUUUAAUAUUGAGUUUGUUGUAUAUUAAUAUUAAUAUUGUUGGUGCAAAAAGGUAAUAAUUAUAUGGAUUUUGGAUCCGCAAAGUAAAAAUUAACCAAAAAUAAAUACUUGCAAUUAAUAUAUUUUUUGCAUGUGCUAAAUUAAUUUUGAGAUAAAAUUUUAGCAUUAAAUUUUUUCUAUAUUAAUAUUGCAAAUGAAAAUAGGUAUUAGCUAUAUGGAGUUUGGACGAGUAAAUGCAGAAAUUGUUCAAAAAUAAAUAUUUGCAACUAGUAUUAUUUUUGCAUGUGCUUUUAUCUAAUAAUGAUGAUAUAACCAUUUUGAUUUGAAUAAACUUUUUUACGUUCUUUAUUUUCGUUCACCUGCUAUCUUAAAAAUCAUGUUUCACCUUAAUUAGCGUAAACAAUUUUAAUUCUACACGAUAAUAUUUAAGUUUAAAUCAUGAAAUAUUAUAAAGCUCUGCGAAACAUAGAAAAUUGCAUAGUUAAAAAUUAAAGUAUAAAGUUAUAUUAGGAAGCCUCCUGUGUUUACUAAUAAUUAGAUAUGAGAAAUGAUGAAAAAGGCUAGGAGCUCUCCUAAUCUAUGUCAUAAUAACUCUCAUCUUUAAGAAUUUUGAUGUAUUUUAAAAAAUAAAUAAAUAAUAACAAUUAGACAAGGAUGAUUAGUUGAUCAUGAACACACGAGUAAUAUAUUAAUUGAAUAAUGACAAUUUACAAUAAUUAUUAUAUAAUAGAAAUAAUUGAAAUAUUAAAAAUUGGUUCCGGUAAUUGAUCAAGUCGACUAAUUCAAUCACGGAUAGCCAGUUCAAUUAGAUUCUCUUUCUUAAAUGAUGCAAAAGCCAAAUGGAUCCAAUUUUAAAAUUAGUUCACCAAAUUUUCGAGUUAAUUUUUUUUUUUUUUUUUUAAGAGAAAAUUAUGCUUGCACCUUUUAGUUGCGUUGAAUUUAAAGUUUGGUUAAAUUGCAAUUAUACCAUAAUAUUUAAAGCUUCUUUAAGGAAAAACUGAAGGUUGGGAAGUUAAAAUGUAUAAGGUUGAAUUUCUCUCCACACCUUAAAUAAUAAAGUUGUACUAUAAUAUUAUACUCUCUUUAUCCAAAUUAUAAUAAACUCAAAAUAACUUACAAAAAAAUAUUUAAUUUAAUAUAAAUAAUAAUAUGAUUAAAAAAAUAUUUAUUAAUUUUUUAAAUAAUCAAUACGUCUUAUAUUUUAAAAUAAAAUAAUCGCAAUUUAUAUUUAGUAGGGCAAAAAAAGUGCUACCGUUGCCAAAGGAUAAGAUUGAAGCUAAUUAGGCAAAACAUUUACACGCUUUGGUCAAAAUCCUUAAGUACGCGGCUAGCCAAUAUGGAAGCACCCAAACUAUUAACCAGUCUUUCACGUGUGGUCGCGCAAGUCCGUGCGUGUGCGCGCAUGCGCAUGCUUGUGUGUGCGUGUGUCCAUGAUUAUAUUUAGCUUGGUUUGGUAGGAUGAAUAUUGCUACUUUAAAAAAAUAAAAAUAAAAAUAAAAAUUGAUUCAUAUAAUAAAAAAAUUGAGUCAUUUAAUUGAAUAAGAACAUAAAAAUCACACUCUCUCUUCCUUCGUGAUUUACAAGAUAUUUAUGAAAGAAACAAAAAUAAGAAUUUGGAGGAGAAAGCAAGUUGUAGAAAAAGACAGAGAUGCAAGAAAGAAAACUUGUGAAGCACGUGUGCCACCCAAAGGAAUAUCUUAUGGAAAUUGAAAAGGAUUGUACAUUGGCUAACGAAUAAUUAGGCAAUUAGCCUACUAUGAUGGCUUAAUUAAAUUAUUAAUUGACUCGGUAAACUGAUCAAUUAACAAGUAAUUAUAAAAUAGUGGAUCUCCAUUUUAUACUUUUUCUUCUCAUAUACAAUUUUAAAUUUCUACUCAUCAUUUUAAAUUUGGUAAACGGCAGUGGAGUCAAUAUAUAAUUAAUUUUGAAAUGAUAUUCAUAUAAUAAUCAAAUAAGUUCAAAUUAAGUAAAAAUCUAAUUAAUUAAUUAGUAACUUCAAACAUAUACUACUAACCAUUUUGUUUUAGAUUAGUUCAUGAGAAAUUUGUAUAUCUAUAUUGAACUUGAAAUAAAAAUAAAGUUCACUCUUUAUUUAGCAUAGUAUUUUACCCUUUUUGUAAAUUUUUAUUUUUUUUUUCCUUAUUUUUUAUAUUUUAAUUCAACCACUUAAGGUAUCUUUAAAGUUUUAAAAUUAAUAUUUUUUUAUAAUAAUUUAUAUUGAUAUCUAUAUUUUUAAAUCCAUAUAUCUAUGUGUAUUUAUAUCCACACAUAUUUUAUAUAUCAAUUCAUAUCUAAAUCUAUAUAUCUAUAUUAAAGCUGAAUAAAAAAAAAGUUAUAAAUUCGAUUAUCCUUUUUCUUAUAUUCUUUUCCUUUAAAAUUUUUUAAAUUAUUUCUUUAUUUUUCUAUAUUUGAUUGAGCUAGUUAACAAUAUUUUUAAAAUCUUUCUAUCUAUUCAAGCCAAGAUAAAGUAAAAGUUCAAAAUUUGAUUUUCGCUUCAUUUAGUAUUUUGCUUUUUUCUUUUCAAGAAAGUUUUUGACUUUUUAUUUUUAUGUAUUUAUUUUACCGUCUAGGAUAGUUUUUUAAAGUUUAAAAAUUGUGCGUGUGUAUGUGAGAGAGAUAUAUAUUAGGAUGCUUUGUUAAUAUUAUCAUGGUUUUAAUAAAUGAUAUGUCAUUUGUGUCACGUGUAUAGUAAGUACUCUCUUAAAAAAAAAAAAGUUAUUUAUAAUAAUUACGAAUGAAAAUCUAAUAUAUUAAUUAUAUAUCAUUAAAAAAAUACUGAAAGUUCAUAGCUAGUUCUAUUUGUUGGUUUUUAAUAUUUAAAAUUUCAAUUAUUAUAUUAUUUUGAGAUAUUUAUUUAUUUAUUUUUUUGAGUAUUGGGGGAGAGGGAUUUGAAUCCAAAUCUAUUGCUGGGUCGUAUAUGCACUUAUCACUAGAUUAGGAUAAUAAUUAUUUAAGUUUGAAAGUUACUAUUUAUUUAUAAUAAUAUUAGAAAAAUAAUCAUAUUAAUUAAGUCAAAAUUAAAAAAUGUCAAAACUGCCCUCCCUUUAAUUUUACAAUUUUACUUGCAUUCUACUCUAUAGAGUAAAGUAUUCAGUUUCUUGAUUUUGAGCUUAAAUGCACUAAUUACGCUGUAUUUAAUUAGCUCUGAAACUGAAAGUUUUGUUUGAAAUUCUUGUCCUUGAUUUUUGCCUCAGCUGAAACAGUAUAUCUGCUUGGAUUGAAAAUACAAAAGCCUUAUACCCAAUCAUAUUGGGCUUAGCCCAUACAUAUCUAUCCAACUCCAACAUUAACCCUUUCGAGAUCAUUAACAUGAUUGGAUUUGGCUCAAUAUCAUUAUUAUCGGUAGAGAUGUCAUUUUCAAAACAAAAGGGAAAAAGAUACUCGAGCUUCUCAAGUUAGUUUUAGGAUUAUACAUUUGUAAGUUCAAAACUAAUCUAAACUUAGUUAAUCAAAUUGAGGUUUUAAUUUAUUUUUUUGUCUUUCCAAAUUAAUCCUACCAUGCUCUAGUCCAGGAGCACAAGGGGGAAUAAUAAAUUCAAGCUUCCUCCUUUCAAUUUUAAAAGAUAUUCCAUAUUAUCAUAAUCUUUUUUUCGUUAAUUAUGAUUUUCAAACUAUUUUUGAUUUGAGAGAGAAGAGAAAGAACCCACUAUCCAAAAGAAAAACUAUAUAUUAGAGAUUAAAUUAGGAAAGUAAGAACUAUAUCGUAUCAGUUUAAAUGGGUAGAGUAAGGCCAUAAAUGAUUUAUAUAAUUAUCAAUGGCUUAAAAGGAAUGAUAAAAAUAGUUGUACUACUAAUAUAAGAAAAUUUUAUGAUUUUAUCAUUAUAUUUUGUCAUAAUAUAUAAAUUGCUUGCAUUUUUCAGAAAUGCAUACUUUUGUUUUUAUCUUCUCUAUUUCUGUCGAUUUUUUAUACUUUUUUUCGUCAAUAAAUACUACUAUGUUUUUCAUAUAUUUUGUUAAAAUUUACAAUUUAUCCAUUUAUGUAUCAAUUAUUGUCUACAUAUUUCGCUAAAAUUAAGUAGCAAAAUUAAGUAAUUAUCCCUAUAUUUAAUAGAAGGUAGAAAAAAUUAACAUAAGAUACAUCAGUGUGUAACGGAUGAGGUAAAAAAUAUGGAUAAAAUUAUAUAUCUCUAAAUAAAAAAUAAAAUUAUUCGAAUCCAAUCGAUUACAGAUGUUUUUAUCAAUUUAAUAAGCAAGAGGAAAACUACCCCUACCCUUAUUACAUAAUGCAAAUAUUAAACAUUGCUUACCAAUAAUAAUACAUAUUCUUUGUAUUGGAUGCAGAUAAAAGCUUUACCUCAACAAAGAAAAUCUUUAACACCAAAAUGGUAGGGCUCUGACCAAAUGCCAGAAUCAAGAUAAACAAUCAUGCCAUCAAAUCAACUUGCUUUUCUUUCUUUUCUUUUUUUCCAUAAUUACCUUGCCCUUCCUUUUCUCUAUCAAACUGUAAUUUUUAGAUGACAAACAACCAGAGAUAACUACUCUUUUUUGUUUCUCUCUUUUAAUCUUUUGUUAGUUUUUAACUGAAACAAUUAAAGAAUAAAGCCAAACAUAUGAAAAAGCAAACGCAAGAACAGGCUGUUAAGAAAAGAAAGAAAGGAAAGAACAAAAGAGAGGCUCCCAAUAGAAUAAUCCAAAAUAUAUAAAAUGACAGUGAAUAGAAAACUACAAAAAUACAGAGUUUUUCCCCCCACACAGCUCUCCCUCCCUGUCCCUCAAAGAAUACUGAAUACAAAGCAAAUGUGGUUAAUCCCCAGGCAGAAAAAACCAAACCACUGGCCAGUAAGAUAUAGCAAUAAUUUAACAAAACAAUGGUAAUCAAAUAAAAAUAUCAAAUGGUGAGUCCGUAAAUAAAGAAGAAGAGCAUGUGGGGGACAAAAGAUUAAAAUAAUUUAACACCAAUAGCAAUAAUGGACAUUAUAAAACAUAUCUCUCUGUUUUGAUCUCUAGAAGAUCAAAGUCAUUGCUGCCCAUCCCAAUGCCAAGCCUCCGAGCAUCUUCUGUACUGACCUUAUCGAUUCUGAUCCGCUCUGCAAUUUGGAUCAAAAUUCAUUUUCAUAAUCCAGAUGUUAAGAAGAAUAAAUAAACUUGCAUAAAUUUCUACUUUAAUAAUUAUUCACGAGAAUGUUGUUGCCUCUCCCCGUUGGGAAGUUAAUGAUCUGAAAUUCUGAUGUUGAAAUUUCAAUGUUCGGUUUAGAGAAACAAUAAAUACACAUUCAUUAGAAAACCAUUAGCUUGAGAAUUAUUCGAUUCAAGAUAGAUCCUCCUUACGGGAAGUGAAACCGCUUUGUGCCAUAGAUUUUUAUUACUAUUGCAUUAAAACCUUUCAUCAACAGUUAUAAUUUUAUUAAUUAAAAGGACUUGCCCACUGUACUAAUAAAAUUAAUCACCUCCACAUUAAUGUUCUGCAGAUCCACGGAUGACACAGUGCAAUUCACUGUCAUUUGUACUACAGUGAUGGGGCGUGAAUCUUACGCGCCACAGUGUCGCGUUCAUCUCACUAGAGACAAGCGCUUACCACCAGAAGCAGUACUUGAGAAGCGCCAAGCUUUGCUUCCACUAAGCAGUUAUAAGGCAGCACCGACAUUUAGCAUUUCAAUAAUGGAUUAACUUGAGGGGCAAUAAUCCGGUCAUUUUAGGAAAUUUAAGCAUUCUUCACUAAUUUAGGCUCGGUGACCACUAACGAUAUCUAGAUUUUUUUCUAGUGCUAAAGAGGGAAAACACAGACCAUGGAUCUUUGCAUUAAACUUCAGAUCUGGAGGUGCAUUGCACUCCAGCGCAUGUCAGAUGGUAAGCCAAUCGGAAAAACAACUAAAACGAGCACUGGAAAGUAGAAAGUACCUCAUCGGCCACAGAAGCGGGACCAGGAGAGCUGGCGUCAAGGCUCGGUCCAGGUGCCUCCGUCGGUGGAGCUGGUGGACUCGACAACUCCGGACCAGGAGCAGGUGAAGCAGCGUGCUUCUUCGACUUUUUCUUGGUUGGAGUCGGUGCAGGAACCUCGGCGGUUGGCGCAGCCACUGGAGCUGAAGGAGCAGUUUCCGGAGGAGAGCUUGUUGGUGGAGUAACUGGUGCUGGUGAUGGAGGAGAUUGGGCCGGAGAUUUUGCUGGAGUUUUUGCUGGAGGAGAGCUCACUGGAACUGCAACAGGUGGUGAACUAAUAGGAGCGGCGGCAAGUGGUGGUGUAGCUACCGGAGCCGCAGCCGGAGCUGGCACCUUCUGUUUGGUCGGAGAAGCUGCUGGUGUCUUCGCUGGUGGUGAAGACACUGGAACUGCAACAGGAGCAGGCGAUUUAGAUUUUGCUGGUGCUUUAGCAGGUGCAGUUACAGGCGCUGCAGGAGCCAACGGAGUAGCAGUCGGUGCUGCACCUGGAGCUUGGCCGCCGACGCCGGCGACAAUGAUGCACAUUAAUGCAACAGAAAAAACGCUUUUGCGAUCCAUCUUGGCAGAGGAGAGAGAGAGAGAGAGAGAGAGAGAGAGAGGAGAGAGCUCGAGACUGCGAGAUANNNNNNNNNNNNNNNNNNNNNNNNNNNNNNNNNNNNNNNNNNNNNGAGAGAGAGAGAGAGAGAGAGAGAGGAGAGAGUUCGAGACUGCGAGUUAAAGGUGAAUUAGUGAGAAUGGCAUAUAUAUAGGCCCCGUUUUCCUUAAAAAAUAACGGACAGGUUUAGAUAGAUCUGGAUCGUUUACAAAAGGGGGACCCACUUAAUAGCCGUUUGAUUAACGAAUAGAACUUUUGGACCCCACAAAAUUGGUAUCAAACAAGAAUGUGGCGCUUGACACAGUCUGGAAGGAGGGACCACAAAUGUCCAAAUCUCGGUGUAUCAACGCAUGUGAUUAUGGAGUCUUUGAUUAAGUAAUAAACGCGUGACACGUCACUAAUAUACUUUGGUUAGGGCUUUAUUACGCAUAUUAACAAUACGAUUCUCUGCUGUGAUUGGUCUGGUGUUUUUUGGUUCAAGGGGAAUUGAUACAGCUGUGAGUACUGAGGUGGGGACGUUGCCAGUUUCACAACCAAAUCAUAGAUGGCCACGUGGGGUAUUGACAAUAAUUGUUGUGGAAGUAUUGGUGACUUUAGUUGUAUUUUCGGCCCACCGCCAAAGCGUGGGGCCCUGGUGGAAAUGCUGUCUCGGGGAGCGUGUCUUCUAGCCCAGUUUACUUUUACGUUUUGGGCACUUUCUUACAAUUUUUGUAAAGUAAGAAGUGAGAACUGAGAACCAGCCUGUCUCAUUUUUACAUUUUGGGGUUUUGCUUGUACGAUAAUACAAGUUGGACUAAAAAAUUUUAGGAAUGAGAUAGAUAAAAAAAAGCUAAA
rnacentral:lncRNA from 1 species